AACGAACGCUGGCGGCAUGCCUAACACAUGCAAGUCGAACGAGACCUUCGGGUCUAGUGGCGCACGGGUGCGUAACGCGUGGGAACCUGCCCUUAGGUUCGGAAUAACUCCCCGAAAGGGGUGCUAAUACCGGAUAAUGUCUUCGGACCAACGAUUUAUCGCCUUUGGAUGGGCCCGCGUUGUAUUAGCUAGUUGGUAGGGUAAAAGCCUACCAAGGCGACGAUCCAUAGCUGGGUUGAGAGGAUGAUCAGCCACACUGGGACUGAGACACGGCCCAGACUCCUGCGGGAGGCAGCAGUGGGGAAUAUUGGACAAUGGGCGAAAGCAUGAUCCAGCAAUGCCGCGUGAGUGAUGAAGGCCUUAGGGUUGUAAAGCUCUUUUACCCGGGAUGAUAAUGACAGUACCGGGAGAAUAAGCUCCGGCUAACUCCGUG
rnacentral:rRNA from 1 species